GGGUCCAUAGCUUAGUGGUAGAGCAUUUGACUGCAGAUCAAGUAGUCAUCAAUUCGAAUCUGGUUGGGCCCU